rnacentral:lncRNA from 1 species
GGUGGUUCUAAUUUCAGUCCUUUUUCCCUGUUUGGAAAGCUGAUGUCUAACUUUAAUACCAUUUUAUUCCUUAGGGUAAUUUCAUCCAUUACUACUCAAGUGCUUUUAAGCUUUUUGGUAUACCUAUUUUAUUUAUUAUCAAAUCAAUAGAUUGAAGAGUGAAUUGCUCAGUCAGACUGAUUAUUUGUCAUCAUUUAGGCAAAACCCAGGCAUUUGACUGAAAAGCUCCUUUAAAACUGAACCUACCUUACUCACUUUACAUAGCCAGUCUAUAAUACAGCUACAUUUGAUUCAUUUGAAAUGGUUUGAAUUGUA